rnacentral:rRNA from 1 species
GAUGAACGCUGGCGGCGUGCCUAAUACAUGCAAGUCGAGCGAACAGACGAGGAGCUUGCUCCUCUGACGUUAGCGGCGGACGGGUGAGUAACACGUGUAUAACCUACCUAUAAGACUGGUAUAACUUCGGGAAACCGGAUCUAAUACCGGAUAAUAUAUUGAACCGCAUGGUUCAAUAGUGAAAGACGGUUUUGCUGUCACUUAUAGAUGGAUCCGCGCCGCAUUAGCUAGUUGGUAAGGUAACGGCUUACCAAGGCGACGAUGCGUAGCCGACCUGAGAGGGUGAUCGGCCACACUGGAACUGAGACACGGUCCAGAGUCCUACGGGAGGCAGCAGUAGGGAAUCUUCCGCAAUGGGCGAAAGCUUGACGGAGCAACGCCGAGUGAGUGAUGAAGGUCUUCGGAUCGUAAAACUCUGUUAUUAGGGAAGAACAAAUGUGUAAGUAACUAUGCACGUCUUGACGGUACCUAAUCAGAAAGCCACGGCUAACUACGUG